UGGGAAGCCAGCUCGGCCCCUCCUGCGUUACUGCAGAAUACCAAGGCGGGCAGCCAGCAGCGUCUCGAGUCUCUAGGCUGAGAUUUUGUGUAAACGGACGCACAAGGUGGACCCACCUCUGUGCCUGCGUUUGCAGCUCAGGCCUGAAGCCUGUGAUUGGUGGAGGAAGGAGACACCCUGUCUGACUGGACAAAAGCUGAGCCGGGAAGAACGUGACGGGAGUAAGAGGAGUCGCGUGCUGCUUCGGUUAACACCCGCAUCUGAAGUAACCGACAGAUACAGUAUCAUAGAGGAGCAGGUAGAGAAGCAAGAAUGGGGAGCGCUCUGCUCUCGCGUACUUCAACGUGGGAUCAGACGCCAGGACUUGUGGCUGAGCCGUGAGCAGAGCUAUAAAUCGCGCUUAACAGGGAAUCGCUCGGAGAGGAGUGACGCAAUCUGAACGGUUUGCAUUUAAAUAUUAACCAUCAUUUUGAACCAUCUGGCAUCACAACUGCUGCCGGGAAACAAGCUGCCAAUAGCAUACGCACACACACGGCUGCACAUAUGUUCAUCUCUUAGGGCCGAUACCUGCUCGCGCCCAGAUGACUCAUUCAACGUAAAGCUGCAAAUGAGCAUUAUAGGAAAUACUGUACAUGCUUAGAAGCAGCGGUGGUUAUUCCCUGUUUGACAUCAACAAUCUGCGAAACUUUCGCUUUUUGUUUUUAACUAAAUUUGAGCAAAUACAUCAACUUGAAUCAAGAGUGAGAUAUUUUAUAAUUAUAUAAUAAUGUGAUAUUAUGAGUUACAUGAGCAUGUAAUACACAGUAAGUACGUUUUCUAUUUGUUAGUAUGAGAUCUCCCUCAGGCCACACAGAGAAAAGUGCUGUAAUAUUGAAUAGAUCUACGGCACCAUUAUCACGUCAGGCUGUGUUGGAUCAUAUUGGAUGUUCUGCUUGUUCACCUAAGUCACGCUACGUGUAAAUUGUUUUGUGCCAACAUGUGCUCACUUUGAAAAGUUCAUGAUUAUUAUAUGUUAAGCAGAUUUUUAAUCAGUUUCUGCCUGAACGAGUUGUCUGUCUGUGUUCGCAGGGGAAGCAGGUAACAUCGAUCUGAGCCAAUCUGCACUGAGCCAGGCCUCCGGCUCCUCUUUAAUCCUGCAGUUUGUCUCUGAGUCGGUCCACUCCCCUUAUCUACCCCCCCCCCCCCCCCCCCCCCCCCCCCCCCCUCAGUAUCUCCCGCUUUCCAUUCCUCUUCAGACUCGCAUACCUCUCCUCUUGCAGGGGGCAUUGACGGCGUCACUCACCGCGGUGCCAGGGCUCGCGUCUCCCUCGUCCUCCUCGACUCCUCUCACACAGCGCGUCCUUCGGGCCUGGUGUUUGUAGAAUCAGCCCAGUUAAGAAAACAAUGACAGGAAGGAACAGAAGGAGAGAUACAGCUUUUAGAAACUGUACACCUCCAGUUACUUCCUAGAAUAAGACAUCAAGCGAGGAGGCCUUUAGUGAUUUUCAGUGAUUAUUUUGUUCACCAUCAGCCCCAGUAAGUUUGUUUAACUUUGCUAAAGGCUGUUGAGGGUAUGCGCACAAUAAAGAAGACUGCAGCACUGGACUAAAUGUCUUAAUUCUCUUUUGGGAGCGCUAGAAUUGCUUUAAUCUGUAUUUCUCUGCAGCUCUUAAAAUAGCUAUGCAAGGUCACUUUCCUCAGGCUUGUCAGGCUAAAGCAGGCCUGCUUUUAUAAGCGUGUGUGUGUGUGUGUGUGUGUGUGUGUGUGUGUCUACUCACCAACCAAGCCACCAGCAAACAGCCAAACAUGCUCGUCAGCGUCAUGCACAUCAUGAGUGUGAGCGGAGUCGUCCAUCAGGUCAGGCGGUUCAGCCUCCGCGAUCGCCGCGGAUGCACGAGUUAAUACGCGGUGCCACGCGUUUGUUCCACUUGCCGUCAAGGUCACCUGCUAAAUCCCCUCUCGCCUACUUUCCCAGCGAGUCAAAUCAGUUGUUUCCUCCAUCCCCCAUCUUGUCUAUCCACCCCGAUUCUCUCAAUCCCUCUCUUGUGCCUCUAUUUUUAACCAGCUUAGCAGCAUUGGAGGCAUGAGAGGUUUAUUUUCUGCCUCCUUCCUCACUCGUUACCUGGCUGUCGAUUCACAAAGUCUAUUAAUCUGCUAAUACAGUACAGAUGGAGGCCGGGUUCCAGAAAAGUCACCCAGUAAAAGCAGUGACAAGUGUCCCUUCAAAAAA